AGUCAACAUAACCAAAGGACGUGGAUAAACUCGGGAAACUGAGGCUAAACCGCGAUAGACCAAGAUACCUGGAAUGGUUUUUGAUUAAAAUCUAUAUGGCCUUUGGAUUGGACUGCGACCGAUCAGGCUGUUGGUGGGGUAAUGGCCCACCAAACCUGUAACCGGUACGGGCUCUGAGAGGAGAAGCCCGGAGAUGGGCACUGAGACAAGGGCCCAGGCCCUAUGGGGCGCAGCAGGCGCGAAAACUCUGCAAUAGGCGAAAGCUUGACAGGGUUAUUCUGAGUGAUCUCCGUUAAGGAAAUCUUUUGGCACCUCUAAAAAUGGUGCAGAAUAAGGGGUGGGCAAGCCUGGGGUCAGCCGCCGCGGUAAUACCAGCACCCCGAGUGGUCGGGUCGAUUAUUGGGCCUAAAGCAUCCGUAGCCGGUUCUACAAGUCUUCCGUUAAAUCCACCUGCUUAACAGAUGGGCUGCAGAGGAUACUAUAGAGCUAGGAGGCGGGAGAGGCAAGCGGUACUCAGUGGGUAGGGGUAAAAUCCGUUGAUCCACUGAAGACCACCAGUGGCGAAGGCGGCUUGCCAGAACGCGCUCGACGGUGAGGGAUGAAAGCUGGGGGAGCAAACCGGAUUAGAUACCCGGGUAGUCCCAGCUGUAAACGAUACAGACUCGGUGAUGAAUAGGCUUAGUGCCUAUUCAGUGCCGCAGGGAAGCCGUUAAGUCUGCCGCCUGGGGAGUACGGUCGCAAGACUGAAACUUAA
rnacentral:rRNA from 1 species